GAUGAACGCUGGCGGCGUGCCUAAUACAUGCAAGUCGAGCGAACAGACGAGGAGCUUGCUCCUCUGACGUUAGCGGCGGACGGGUGAGUAACACGUGGAUAACCUACCUAUAAGACUGGGAUAACUUCGGGAAACCGGAGCUAAUACCGGAUAAUAUAUUGAACCGCAUGGUUCAAUAGUGAAAGACGGUUUUGCUGUCACUUAUAGAUGGAUCCGCGCCGCAUUAGCUAGUUGGUAAGGUAACGGCUUACCAAGGCAACGAUGCGUAGCCGACCUGAGAGGGUGAUCGGCCACACUGGAACUGAGACACGGUCCAGACUCCUACGGGAGGAAGCAGUAGGGAAUCUUCCGCAAUGGGGGAAAGCCUGACGGAGCAACGCCGCGUGAGUGAUGAAGGUCUUCGGAUCGUAAAACUCUGUUAUUAGGGAAGAACAAAUGUGUAAGUAACUAUGCACGUCUUGACGGUACCUAAUCAGAAAGCCACGGCUAACUACGUG
rnacentral:rRNA from 1 species